AGAGUUUGAUCCUGGCUCAGGAUGAACGCUAGCUACAGGCUUAACACAUGCAAGUCGAGGGGCAGCAUGAACUUAGCUUGCUAAGUUUGAUGGCGACCGGCGCACGGGUGAGUAACGCGUAUCCAACCUACCCUUGUCCAUCGGAUAACCCGUCGAAAGGCGGCCUAACACGAUAUGCGGUUCACAGCAGGCAUCUAACGUGAACGAAAUGUGAAGGAGAAGGAUGGGGAUGCGUCUGAUUAGCUUGUUGGCGGGGUAACGGCCCACCAAGGCGACGAUCAGUAGGGGUUCUGAGAGGAAGGUCCCCCACAUUGGAACUGAGACACGGUCCAAACUCCUACGGGAGGCAGCAGUGAGGAAUAUUGGUCAAUGGACGAGAGUCUGAACCAGCCAAGUAGCGUGCAGGAUGACGGCCCUAUGGGUUGUAAACUGCUUUUAUAGGGGGAUAAAGUGUGCCACGUGUGGCAUAUUGCAGGUACCCUAUGAAUAAGGACCGGCUAAUUCCGUGCCAGCAGCCGCGGUAAUACGGAAGGUCCGGGCGUUAUCCGGAUUUAUUGGGUUUAAAGGGAGCGUAGGCCGUCUUAUAAGCGUGUUGUGAAAUGUCGGGGCUCAACCUGGGCAUUGCAGCGCGAACUGUGAGACUUGAGUGCGCAGGAAGUAGGCGGAAUUCGUCGUGUAGCGGUGAAAUGCUUAGAUAUGACGAAGAACUCCGAUUGCGAAGGCAGCCUGCUGUAGCGCAACUGACGCUGAAGCUCGAAAGCGUGGGUAUCGAACAGGAUUAGAUACCCUGGUAGUCCACGCGGUAAACGAUGGAUGCUCGCUGUUUGCGUCUGACGUAAGCGGCCAAGCGAAAGCGUUAAGCAUCCCACCUGGGGAGUACGCCGGCAACGGUGAAACUCAAAGGAAUUGACGGGGGCCCGCACAAGCGGAGGAACAUGUGGUUUAA
rnacentral:rRNA from 1 species